rnacentral:rRNA from 1 species
GAUGAACGCUGGCGGCGUGCUUAACACAUGCAAGUCGAACGGUGAAGCCAAGCUUGCUUGGUGGAUCAGUGGCGAACGGGUGAGUAACACGUGAGCAACCUGCCCUGGACUCUGGGAUAAGCGCUGGAAACGGCGUCUAAUACUGGAUAUGAGCCUCUUCCGCAUGGUGGGGGUUGGAGAGAUUUUUUGGUCUGGGGUGGGCUCGCGGCGUAUCAGCUUGUUGGUAAGGUAAUGGCUAACCAAGGCGUCGCCGGGGAGCCGGCCUGAGAGGGUGACCGGCCACACUGGGACUGAGACACGGCCCAGACGCCUACGGGAGGCAGCAGUGGGGAAUAUUGCACAAUGGGCGAAAGCCUGAUGCAGCAACGCUGCGUGAGGGAUGACGGCCUUCGGGUUGUAAACCUCUUUUAGCAGGGAAGAAGCGAAAGUGACGGUACCUGCAGAAAAAGCGCCGGCUAACUACGUG